UACGUAGGGUGCGAGCGUUGUCCGGAAUUACUGGGCGUAAAGAGCUCGUAGGUGGUUUGUCGCGUUGUUCGUGAAAUCUCACGGCUUAACUGUGAGCGUGCGGGCGAUACGGGCAGACUAGAGUACUGCAGGGGAGACUGGAAUUCCUGGUGUAGCGGUGGAAUGCGCAGAUAUCAGGAGGAACACCGGUGGCGAAGGCGGGUCUCUGGGCAGUAACUGACGCUGAGGAGCGAAAGCAUGGGUAGCGAACAGG
rnacentral:rRNA from 1 species